rnacentral:lncRNA from 1 species
GAGUUUCCUAUGGUGCCUUCGGCAGGGCCUGACUGCCUGUCAGCCUCACUCUGUCAAGUGGCACCGCAGUCGGCGUGGCGCUGGCGGCGCUGUCCUUCUGUCAGGCCGGUCAGUGGAGCGGCGAAGUUACGGCGGUCACUUCGGCUCUGCCGGGGGGCGCGCGUUAGGAUAAAGGUGUCAGGCCACCUUUGCAUUAAAUGCUCCUGCGAUUUGGUCGGUCGGUGCGGCGAUUUAGUCAGGGUUGCUUCUUAGCGAAGGCAGGGCCUCGGGCGAGCCGGAAAUGUGUUCAGUGGCACAGAGGAGCGCACGCGCGCGAUUUGCGGCCGACGGCAGGGUCCCACACGACAGCGAUCCGCGGAAACGCGUGAUGCGGCGUGAGUAUGGACAGCGGGGCCCACAAGUCGGCGCCAAGAAUAGAAGCUGGGCUGCGCGGAGGUUAAGGGUUAAUGGGCCGAAUUCAGGUUCGUUGGCCCAUCCAGGUAUAGUAUUCCUUUUUCUUUUUCUUUUUAUUUUCUUUUAUUUUCUUCUUUCUCUAUUAUUUCACAAAUUCAAAUUUAAAUACUAAUUUAAAUUCAAACUUGUGACUAGUUCAUUCUCAAACCAUAUUUGUGCAAUUAACAGUAUUAGGUUUGAGGAUAUUUAUUCAAAUAUAUUAUUCAUGUUUUCAUAUUCCUUCUCUUUUCUAGAUUCAUGAAUUUCUUUUAGGAUUUAAUUUCCCUUUUUGGUCUUUAAUAUUUUCUUGUUACAAAAUGCACACAAAAAUAAAAUAUUUAGCAUGAUGCAAUGAUUUAUUAGCAUAUCUUUUUAUUAAUUGUUCUUGGACAUGGUGUUCACAUAUGAUGAUGCAUGAAGGUCAAACUCACAUAAAGAGGAAUUGUUUCUCUAUUGGUAUUAUUUCUAGCAAUUUACAAAGUGGGUGUUACAAAUCCUACCCCCCCUAAAAAUAAUCUCGUCCCCGAGAUUAGUAGAAAAGGGAUGCAACCAGUUUGGUUUGGGAAUCAAAAGUUUUGUUUCAAAAUUUUUUUUAAUACUCGCUAGUAGAUGAUUUAAAAAAUAUGGAUAUAUAUGUCUAGCCAUCUAUUAUGUCAGAUGGGGUACGAUUAUGGCAAGUAUAGGUUGUGGCAAUGAAGAGUAUAAUAAGGAAAGACUUCAUCCUAAACUAUGGAUCUUGAUUCCGCUGGCGAUUCAACUUGAUCUUUGAAGUCUUGAGUUGAUGCUUAUCUUUCUUUGACAUGGUUGGUCUUCUUUGGCCUUUAUUUCUUGGAGUUGUCAUCCGAGUUAAGGACAUAUGGCUAGGACAUAUGUGAGUAGGAUGGAUUGUAUGGUGUAGGUAGGUUAGAAUCUCUUGCUAGGUUAAAAUUUGUGGGGUUAUGCAACUAUUGGAUGGUUAAGGUAGUUGCAUAUGGCCAAGUCGAUCUAUCAUUCUUAAUUUAGUGCAAGGUGAACUAAGUUAAGACCCGUUCUAUAGGAGUAGAGUCUAAUCUAUUUCAUCAGUAUUAUCUAACAUGUUUGAUAAGUCACUUUAGAUUAGAUCAGAUCUAGGUUAGAUUGGUGUGACUAGUUUGACUAGAUAAGAUCUUAUUUAUUUUAGGCUAGAUCAUGGUUGUUACACUAGCGUGGGAUAAAUAUGCUUAUUGGGGUAAGAUGAAUCCAUAAGGAUAAGGUAGAAUCUUUUGAGGUUAGAUAAGAUAAAUCUUUUCAAGAUAAGAUGAGAAUCUAUUUUCUUUUAGGAUAAGAUGGAUCUAUGAGUGUGGGAUAGACUUUUUCAAGAUAAGAUGGAUUUUGCUAGGCUAGAUUCUUUGAUGAGGGAUAACCUAGUUUAUUUGGAUAUUUUUAUAACGGUUUUUUUAUAUGUAUAUGCAGAUGUGAUUGUGGACAUUACUCCACAACUAAUCACACUCAAUCAAAGAUCCAAAUCAAACAAGUAUCAUAAGAACAAACAUUCAAGUUCAUAGAUAUCUAUAAAAAUAGUUUUUUUUGUUCCUAAGAGUAGGUCUCUUAUUCCUAAAGGUCACUUUAGGCACAGGAUUUCAAAGUGUGAAAUCCACAUUUGUCUUUUAGAAAGAAAAGAUAAGAAUAAUCAGAGUAAAGCGGAAAUAGAUGAGAGAGGAUUAAGAUAAGUUUAGAAAGAAUAAGAGAAGCAGAGGUAAGUAGACAAUGGUUGUCCAGUUCUAUCUAGGUUUCGUCCUACAGUCAACAUUCCUCUGAUACCACUUCUGUAACACCCGGGUUUUAGGGGUCCAAAGCCCGGGUGUAAACAUAAUCACCAGGUGUGCUGGGACCAAGUCUCACACAUAUGAUGAAUCAUGGCACAGGAUCGAAUGUCACAUCUUUACUAUAUAAUAAGAGUUCUGUACAAAAUAAAUAAUUACAUUAUAAGGAGACAACGGUCCAGCAACCCAAAGUUGACUGGGAGACGACGACCUAGAUCUCUCACGAACACAUCACAGCAUCCUCCAAGCGCCUCAUCCUGUGGUACCUGUUCUUGACCUGUGUGGGGGGGGGUGAGACAGCAAGAGUGAGCUCACAUACGUUCAUCGCUCAACAAGUUGUGGGGAAUAAUGUGAAUGAACUCGCCAAAGGUGGGAGUUCAUGUGAAGUGUAAGGCUUACCAAAGAGGAUGGUUAGAGCUGAGCAUUGCUUUUAAAGUUGGUCAAAAUUUUAUUAGCAGUUACUAAGUAUAAGUAAAUACCAACCCAAUUAAAUAGUAGAACAGAAGUAACAACCUCACCUGCGAUGCAAUGCAUAUGACAAAUUGAGUUUAGGUUCCAUAAUUUAAUCAUGUGAGUGUCCGAGCUGCUCAUGACCGUGAGCACGGCUAGUAUACCAGUUUUACAAUCUGCAGAGGUUGCGCAUCUUUACCCACAAGUCAUGUUACCCAUCUGCCAAGGGAUCGCGACUUCCCAUACACCUCUACUGAGGAGGCGAGGCAGGGUAACACUACGAGGCCUUUACAAAGUUCCACUAGCUUCAGAAAACCCGCUACAGUUUAUAGGAAGCUCCAAUGCAGGAAUCCCUUGCAAGACCGCCAUCGCAGCAAAAUCCUCCCGAGGGCCUCCCUACACUGACCACUCCCCUACUGCCCUUGCCCCUUUCGGGUAAGGUAGUCUUCCACUAGCUUUCCUAAUUAAUCGGCCAAGGGCGUCCCAUUAAACCCUUGUGGUAGCACUGUUUUCUCGGGUGGUUCUCCAUGUUCCAAUUAACAUAAUGAUCUUAUCAUGAACAGUAAUAAUAAACAGAUAAUAACAGUGUGAUCAUGAAUAAUGUAUCUUCAUACCCAAAACCACAUAAAAGCACUAGCAAGUACUACCCAAAAAGUUCAGUGGUAAACAAGGUAUAAAGAUAAUCAAACUAGGGUAACCUAUUGGGUCCCAUCAAAAUUAACCUAUGCAGAUCAUUAUGAUUAAUUAGAACAUGAGUGGGUAAAAGAAGUGAUCAAGGGCACAACUUGCCUGGCACUUGAGAUUCCAGUACCAACUUGCUCUUCAGAUGACUCGUGACCUCACGCUAGUCGUAGCAAUACAAACAAACAUUAUAUAGGCAAAAUUAACAUUACACCAAACAUAUAUGCAAAAUACAUAUUAAUAAUCUACAUAUUGAAAUAAGAUCAUAGGAACAGGAAUCAUUAAUUUUGGAGUUAUAGAUUUUAAGUUAUGAAUUUUCAAAGGUUUUAUGUGUUUAAAAUAGGAUUAAGUGUGGGAUUAAUUUUCUUACUGUUGUCAUGAUAAAACCGAGACUCUAAGUGAUAAAGAAUAAAAUUACAAAAAUUUAGAAAGUGGAAUGGAUUAUUUUGGAGCCCAAAUGAAUAUUCUAUGAAUUAUACAAGUUCUAGGGUUUAUUUUUAUAUUAAAAAUCUAAUUUCUAAUUCAUUUAAUCACUUUAAAACAGCACUGAACUGGGGCUCAUUUAAACAGGAACAUAGGGGGCUCGGGGUAAGUCGUCCUAGACACAGAGAACAGUCCCCCAACGGACGGCGGGUUGAUUUUAAUAAAACAGAGGGUCUCUUUUGACUAUUGUGCCCGCGAAGGGGUAUGGUUGGAUGUGAGCCGCACGAUUUGAUCCGGACGGCUCAGAUUACAACGCGGUCAUAACUGAACCGGUACGCGCCACUGGCCCUCAGAUCGGUGAUUGACGGCCACGAUUUUAAAACGCAAGAUCUAAUCUCACCCGCCAGAUCAGGACUGGACGGCCCACAUCAUCCUAACCCAAUCGUGCCCCUUGAUUUAAUCUCUACCGCACACUUAAAUCCGACGGCCAAGGGUGGUCCUCCCAACCCGGUUGAAUCCCGGCGGCGGAGCGAAAUCACACGGCGACGCGAGCUCCCGCGGCGGACCCACGCUGGAGUUCGUGCAAAUCGCGCACCAGAGCCCCAACAACCCACCCGAAAGAACCUACAUGCAGUGGAGAACAUUGCAGACGAGGUGGGUGACAUCUUACCGGAGGUGGGGCGGCGAGGAUGGCAGUCCACGGAGAAGGCGGGCCUGCGGCGGAGCAGCAAGCACGGUGAGCAAUUCCGGCGCGCCCGCACGGCCCCUGAGAGUAGGGAAGGCACUAACACAAUCCGGGAGCCUCCGCGAUCCUCCCACGCUGCUGGCCGAGGACAGAGUGUUGCCCUACCCGCAGACCGACGACGGCGGCCCUCACGGCGAGUUCUCACGGCGUUUAUGGUGGCUCGGUUCGUGGUGAUUUGAUGGGAGAAGGGGAAUACGGGGAAGGAAGGGGCCUGCGCUCGCACCUUAUGGACUAGCGAGUCCGCGCCGAGCGAGAGGAAUGCGGGAUGGUGGUUAGAACCACCCGCGUGAGGUCCGCGCAUCAGCCGAGCUUCACGCCUUCGGUUGGGGAUGGAUCUGGCUUCGGGGGCCCAUCGGUCAGUGGCACAGAGGAGCGCACGCGCGCGAUUUGCGGCCGACGGCAGGGUCCCACACGACAGCGAUCCGCGGAAACGCGUGAUGCGGCGUGAGUAUGGACAGCGGGGCCCACAAGUCGGCGCCAAGAAUAGAAGCUCGGCUGCGCGGAGGUUAAGGGUUAAUGGGCCGAAUUCAGGUUCGUUGGCCCAUCCAGGUAUAGUAUUCCUUUUUCUUUUUCUUUUAUUUUCUUUUAUUUUCUUCUUUCUCUAUUAUUUCACAAAUUCAAAUUUAAAUACUAAUUUAAAUUCAAACUUGUGACUAGUUCAUUCUCAAACCAUAUUUGUGCAAUUAACAGUAUUAGGUUUGAGGAUAUUUAUUCAAAUAUAUUAUUCAUGUUUUCAUAUUCCUUCUCUUUUCUAGAUUCAUGAAUUUCUUUUAGGAUUUAAUUUCCCUUUUUGGUCUUUAAUAUUUUCUUGUUACAAAAUGCACACAAAAAUAAAAUAUUCAGCAUGAUGCAAUGAUUUAUUAGCAUAUCUUUUUAUUAAUUGUUCUUGGACAUGGUGUUCACAUAUGAUGAUGCAUGAAGGUCAAACUCACAUAAAGAGGAAUUGUUUCUCUAUUGGUAUUAUUUCUAGCAAUUUACAAAGUGGUUGGGUCCUUGCUGACGUCCUCUUGCUUCCGUAAGGGGGCUGAGAGCCGCCGUCGUCACAGAGUACGCGGGGCGCCAUCAUUGCCUAUCUGGCGGAGCUAGCCAGAUGGGACGCCGGUCUUGUUCCCUGCGGCCCGAGUCAGCUCGGGGUAGGGUGAUGAUGGCGCCUCCUGUUGACGUGGCUGGCCUGCGCCCUAGGUUGGGCGAUGUGGAGGCUCCUCCGAAGCCGAGGUCGAGUCUGUCUUCCGUGGCCGAGGCCGAGUCCGAGCCCCUGGGUCGGGCGAGGCGGAGGCCGUCGGCUGAGGCCAGGGCGGAGUCCGAGCCCUGGGGUCGGGUGAAGCGAAGUUCGUCGUCUUCUGGGGCUUAGCCCGAGUCCGAGCCCUGGGUCGGGCGGAGCGGAGUUCGCCGUCUUCCGGGACUUAGCCCGAGUCCGAGCCCUGGGUCGGGCGGAGCGGAGUUCGCCGUCUUCCGGGACUUAGCCCGAGUCCGAGCCCUGGGUCGGGCGGAGCAGAGUUUCCUAUGGUGCCUUCGGCAGGGCCUGACUGCAUGUCAGCCUCACUCUGUCAAGUGGCACCGCAGUCGGCGUGGCGCAGGCGGCGCUGUCCUUCUGUCAGGCCGGUCAGUGGAGCGGCGAAGUGACGGCGGUCACUUCGGCUCUGCCGGGGGGCGCGCGUUAGGAUAAAGGUGUCAGGCCACCUUUGCAUUAAAUGCUCCUGCGA